GUUGGGUUACGGUGCCAAACUGCAAACUAACCUAGAUCCCACAAACGGUGUUGGUUGAUUAAGAUAUCAUGAUGGAGGUCAUGGAAGUUGAAGAAGGCUAAGAAGUAUGUAACCACCAACCCGCCGAAUCAACUAUCCUUAAAAAUGGAUGGCGCUUAAGUGUACGACCUAUAUAUGGC
rfam:Capsicum annuum cultivar Zunla-1 chromosome 5, whole genome shotgun sequence